rnacentral:rRNA from 1 species
UACGAACCGUGCGAACGUUGUUCGGAAUCACUGGGCUUAAAGGGCGCGUAGGCGGGUGACCAAGUCAGGGGUGAAAUCUUUCGGCCCAACCGGAAAAGUGCCUCUGAUACUGGUCGUCUUGAGGGAGGUAGGGGUCGAGGGAACUGGUGGUGGAGCGGUGAAAUGCGUAGAUAUCACUAGGAACGCCGGUGGCGAAAGCGCUCGACUGGACCGCUUCUGACGCUGAGGCGCGAAAGCCAGGGGAGCAAACGGG